rnacentral:rRNA from 1 species
UACAGAGGUCUCAAGCGUUGUUCGGAUUCAUUGGGCGUAAAGGGUGCGUAGGUGGCGCUGUAAGUCGGGUGUGAAAUUUCGAGGCUUAACCUCGAAACUGCAUUCGAUACUGCCGUGCUUGAGGACUGGAGAGGAGACUGGAAUUUACGGUGUAGCGGUGAAAUGCGUAGAUAUCGUAAGGAAGACCAGUGGCGAAGGCGGGUCUCUGGACAGUUCCUGACGCUGAGGCACGAAGGCCAGGGGAGCAAACGGG